UACGUAGGGGGCAAGCGUUGUCCGGAUUUAUUGGGCGUAAAGAGCGUGUAGGCGGCCAGGUAGGUGGGUUGUGAAAACUGGAGGCUCAACCUUCAGACGUCGACCCAAACCCCCUGGCUAGAGUCCGGAAGAGGAGAGUGGAAUUCCUGGUGUAGCGGUGAAAUGCGCAGAUAUCAGGAAGAACACCCGUGGCGAAGGCGGCUCUCUGGGCCUGUCCUGACGCUGAGGCGCGAAAGCUAGGGGAGCGAACAGG
rnacentral:rRNA from 1 species